rnacentral:rRNA from 1 species
AUGCCUGAGGGGGUCAACGACACUUCCAUUGUUCUUAUCCCGAAGGUAGACAAACCAGAGCGGCUGACAGAAUACAGACCAAUAAACUUGUGCAAUGUCAUUUACAAGGUUGUGGCUAAAUGUUUGGUUAACCGGCUCUGCCCCAUUUUGGAUGAAAUUAUUUCGCCAGAGCAGAGUGCCUUCGUCCCUGGGAGGAUGAUUACUGAUAAUGCAUUGGUGGCCUUUGAGUGCAUUUAUUCUAUUCAGCAGGAGAAGAAGCCGGAAAACAGUUUUUGUGCCUAUAAACUUGACCUCUCCAAAGCAUAUGAUAGGGUGGAUUGGAUCUUCUUGGAGCGAAUGAUGAUAAAGUUGGGUUUUGCUCGCCGUUGGGUGGACUGA